rnacentral:lncRNA from 10 species
CUGAGCUCCGGGGGUCGUCGCCCCGCAGGAUUGCUGUCACGUCUAAUGUGGCUGCUGCCUCGUGUCACAUCUGAAACUCAUCUGUACCUCACUUAGAAAUCGACAGAAACCUAAUGGGACCAUUGAAGAAUUCCAAACAGGCAGUAUUUGCAUAGGAAUCAGAGGAGUUAAUCUGUCUCUUCUCACAGGUUUGAAUCUUCAGACAAACUUCUGGGAGGACUCGGUCCCUGCCUCGCAGCAGAUGUUCCCUGUCACUCAGUAGCAUAUGGCUACCCAUUCUCCCCAGAAAUCUCACCAGUG